rnacentral:tRNA from 1 species
GGCAGCGUGGCUCAGUGAAAAGAGCCCUGGCCUGGGAGUCAGAGAUCAUGGGUUCAAAUUCCGCCUCUGCCA